CUUGAUUUUUACCUCCUAGCAGCGUCCUCGGUGGCAGUGAUAGGGUGUUGAGUAUUGAGUCCCUGCAAUGAGAAAGUGACUGAGAAAUCCUCUGAAAGCUUAAAACGGAGGAAUUAAAAGCCAUGCAAUACAGAAGAAAAAAAAAACCAAAACAGAUAGUACAGAUCUGUUCUUGGCCAAAUUACAGCCAGUUCACAUCUGAAUUCGGUUAAUGCCACUGAGACACAGCGCGGCACUGCAGUUACAGCUCUCAGAUCAAAGCCAUGGGACAACAUUCAAGUC